CCUACGGGUGGCAGCAGUGAGGAAUAUUGGUCAAUGGGCGAGAGCCUGAACCAGCCAAGUCGCGUGAGGGAGUACUGCCCUAUGGGUUGUAAACCUCUUUUGUCGGGGAGCAAAAGCCGGACGUGUCCGGCUGUUAGAGUACCCGAAGAAAAAGCAUCGGCUAACUCCGUUCCAGCAGCCGCUGUAAUACGGGGGAUGCGAGCGUUAUCCGGAUUUAUUGGGUUUUAAGGGUGCUCAGGCGGAUUUUUAAGUCAGCGGUCAAAUCGGGGGGCUAAACCCCAUCCAGCAGUUGAAACUGGGGAUCUAGAGUGUGCGAGAGGUAUGCGGAAUGCGUGGUGUAGCGGUGAAAGGCAUAGAUAUCACGAAGAACCCCGAUUGCGAAGGCAGCAUACCGGUGCACAACUGACGCUCAGGCACGAAAGCGUGGGUAUCGAACAGGAUUAGAUACCCCAGUAGUC
rnacentral:rRNA from 1 species